AGUGAACGCUGGCGGCAGGCCUAACACAUGCAAGUCGAGCGGCAGCGGGUCCUUCGGGAUGCCGGCGAGCGGCGGACGGGUGAGGAAUACAUCGGAAUCUGCCCUGUCGUGGGGGAUAACCUAGGGAAACUUAGGCUAAUACCGCAUACGACCUACGGGUGAAAGCGGGGGAUCGCAAGACCUCGCGCGACAGGAUGAGCCGAUGUCCGAUUAGCUAGUUGGCGGGGUAAAGGCCCACCAAGGCGACGAUCGGUAGCUGGUCUGAGAGGAUGAUCAGCCACACUGGGACUGAGACAUGGCCCAGACUCCUACGGGAGGCAGCAGUGGGGAAUAUUGGACAAUGGGCGCAAGCCUGAUCCAGCCAUGCCGCGUGGGUGAAGAAGGCCUUCGGGUUGUAAAGCCCUUUUGUCCGGGAAGAAAUCGUCUGGGCUAAUACCCCGGGCGGAUGACGGUACCGGAAGAAUAAGCACCGGCUAACUUCGUG
rnacentral:rRNA from 1 species